CUUGGUCAUUUAGAGGAAGUAAGGGUUAGGUCUCGUUGGUGACCAGCGGAGGGUCAUU
rnacentral:rRNA from 1 species